rnacentral:rRNA from 1 species
GCUGUUCGGGUAUGAGUUUCUACUCCACCCAUGUGAACUUACCUUUUGUUGCCUCGGCAGAAGUUAUAGGUCUUCUUAUAGCUGCUGCCGGUGGACCAUUAAACUCUUGUUAUUUUAUGUAAUCUGAGCGUCUUAUUUUAAUAAGUCAAAACUUUCAACAACGGAUCUCUUGGUUCUGGCAUCGAUGAAGAACGCAGCGAAAUGCGAUAAGUAAUGUGAAUUGCAGAAUUCAGUGAUACAUCGAAUCUUUGAACGCACAUUGCGCCCAUUAGUAUUCUAGUGGGCAUGCCUGUUCGAGCGUCAUUUCAACCCUUAAGCCUAGCUUAGUGUUGGGAAUCUACUUCUUAAUAGUUGUAGUUCCUGAAAUACAACGGCGGAUUUGUAGUAUCCUCUGAGCGUAGUAAUUUUUUCUCGCUUUUGUUAGGUGCUAUAACUCCCAGCCGCUAAACCCCCAAUUUUUUGUGGUUGACCUCGGAUCAGGUAGGAAUACCCGCUGAACUUAAGCAUAUCAAUAGCCGGAGGAAGCUACUUAUGGAGUUUUCUAAACUCCCAACCAUGGUGUACUUAGUUUUUGUUUGCUCGCGAAAGUUUAUAGGUCUUCUUAUAGCUGCUGCGGCUGGACAUUUAAACUCUGUUUAUUUUAUGUAAAUCUGACGUCUUAUUUUAAUUAAGUCAAACUUUCACACGAUCUCUUGGGUUCUGGCAUCAUGAAGACCGCAAAGCUGUAGUAAUGUGGAAUGCUGAAUCGUUGAAUCUUGUAAUCUCUAACGC